rnacentral:rRNA from 1 species
UUACGGAGAAAGCUUAUGCACCAUUGGAUGAGCCCGCACUUGAUUAGUUUGUUGGUAGGGUAAUGGCCUACCAAGACUAUGAUCAAUAGCUGAUUUGAGAGGAUGAUCAGCCACAUUGGGACUGAGACACGGCCCAAACUCCUACGGGAGGCAGCAGUGGGGAAUCUUGCACAAUGGAGGAAACUCUGAUGCAGCGAUGCCGCGUGAGUGAAGAAGGCCUUUGGGUUGUAAAGCUCUUUCGUCGGGGAAGAAAAUGACUGUACCCGAAUAAGAAGGUCCGGCUAACUUCGUGCCAGCAGCCGCGGUAAUACGAAGGGACCUAGCGUAGUUCGGAAUUACUGGGCUUAAAGAGUUCGUAGGUGGUUGAAAAAGUUGGUGGUGAAAUCCCAGAGCUUAACUCUGGAACUGCCAUCAAAACUUUUCAGCUAGAGUAUGAUAGAGGAAAGCAGAAUUUCUAGUGUAGAGGUGAAAUUCGUAGAUAUUAGAAAGAAUACCAAUUGCGAAGGCAGCUUUCUGGAUCAUUACUGACACUGAGGAACGAAAGCAUGGGUAGCGAAGAGGAUUAGAUACCCUCGUAGUCCAUGCCGUAAACGAUGUGUGUUAGACGUUGGAAAUUUAUUUUCAGUGUCGCAGGGAAACCGAUAAACACACCGCCUGGGGAGUACGACCGCAAGGUUAAAACUCAAAUGAAUUGACGGGGACCCGCACAAGUAGUGGAGCAUGUGGUUUAAUUCGAAGAUACGCGCAGAACCUUACCAACACUUGACAUGUUCGUCGCGACUCUAAGAGAUUAGAGUUUUCGGUUCGGCCGGACGAAACACAGGUGCUGCAUGGCUGUCGUCAGCUCGUGUCGUG